CAGCCUUGAAGCUGCUAAUAAUCUCUUCAUUAUCUCUCCCUACUUUCAUCUGAGUCUUUUACCAUUUUGCCUUUUCUUGCUGCCUUCCUCUUUCAGCUGUUCCACUAAUUACUUCCUUGCUUAACUUUGAAGCCCUCCGUGGCUGUUACUUAUUUUCCCUUUCAGCUGCUUGAUUGUUUUCAUCCUUUGCUCUCGUCUUUAGCAGCAGCAAAAAGAUGGCAAGCAGAAGAGGUGUGGGUAGAGCUAGUAAGGAAACAAAUCCUAUUCCUUUGAGGAGACCCUGGAUCUGGUCAAAUAUUCCUGCAGUAGCAACAGUUGUUGAGGAAACUGGCCUGAGACAUGCAGUCACUGUGGUGGAGUACUAUGUUGUAAGAAACUUUUGGAUUGCCUCAUGGAUUGAUCAGACCUGGCUUCUCCAUCCCACUCAAGCAAGGAUGAAAGCCUUGAAGUGCUUCAGGAGGGAUGGCAGGAUCCAGUGGUGGGAUGUCAGUCUCUGGAGUCUGGCACCUCCCCUCCAUUUCUGGGCACAGAGUUAACACUGAAACCUGAGCCAGCUGAUAACAAGGGCAGCAAGCACCAGCUGGGUGUGUGUGGCAUUACCCAUCCACCUCUUCCUGGCAGCUCCAGCACUGGGAAUGCAUUAACAGUGUGGUUCAGUGGAGGCUCAGGAGCUUGACCAUCACAAAGGCCACACAUUUGAAAUGGCUACUGGCACCCUGUUUGAUGCUUCAAGUCUUCUGUGGGUGAGUGGCAUGUCAGAAAUUGAUUUCCUCCUGCAUCCUUCUCUAUUGCAUCAGCAGUGUUGGAAGUCAUGUUGCCUGUUACCUCAUGGCAGCAGCAGGAUCUGAAACAGCACAAUGAAAUUACCUAGACAUUCCUUUUUCCAAGCUAAAGAAAUCCCUUUUUUUUUCUUUUUUUCUACUACCCACUGGAUCUCCUACUUUUCGUUUGCUGAGGCCUCUUCUGUUAGUUGGCCCAUGUGGGUCGUCCAUUCCUUUGUCCUUGUAUCCUCCAGCUUGUUUCCUUGCAGGUUUUUAAUGUCUUUCAGAGGUAAAAAGGAAAGGUAGGAAAUUAUUUAAGUAUAAAAAUACAAUAGUUUUAUGUUUCUGUUCAACUGCUCCUGGGAUGCUUUCACAUGUGGCAAACAUACCCAGACAAUUAAUCUUGUGCACCCACAGGGUGUAACUGUAAAACAGUGCAUGACAGAUGAAGAUGUAUCUUCCUUCCCUAUUGUGCUGUGUUUGGGGGAUUUUUUGGAACCUCUGCUUUUGCUGUGUCAGGGCCAGUUACCCCAUCUGGACCCCUGGGCAUAUUCUAGUUGAUUUGAUAAAAGCAGAUCCUCUGUGUCUUAUUAAAAUUAUAUAUUAGUUAUUAGGGCAUGCAUUCAUUUUCCCUUCUGUUAAUUUUUUUUUGCGGAGGGUGGGGGGAAUGGAGAAGUAGCCAAAAUCAGAAGAAACUCCAGGGCAUGGAAGAAGCGUGGGAGAGAAAUGGCUCACAGCACACUUGCUCUAGAGGGGUCUGAGCUGAAGUGUCGGUGGUGGGAACGAGCAGGUAACAACCAGCCCGUCUGAGAGGGCUCUCCAGAGCAAGAACUGCUGGACCAUUUAGGUGGUUACACUGCUAAAUAGGUCCUGCCUUCCCCGGGUGUCCUUGUGCCAGGGGUGGAGCACCCUGGGAAACUCAGAUAAUGAGCACAUGCUGCUGCUUCAAGUGCUGGAGGCAGGAAGCUCUAAGCACAGGAGCAGUGGCUGCUCAUUCCUGUGUCUCUUCUGUCUGAGCUGAUGAGUUCACAGUGCUGCCCCCCUGCAGCUCUGGAAUCUUGUUAUGCUGUCAUCUCUGCCAUUCUUUGUGUAUCUCAGAGUUUUCUGCAUUCUCCCCAGUAUAUCCUCAAUUUCUCUGCAUUUUAAGCACUUAUUCUAGCCAGGCUUGCUAUUUAUGUGGAUGGGGUUUGGUUUCUAUUGCAGAAGGCACUGUGGACAUUAAUCCUUUGGGGACUUCAGGAGGACAUACUAGAUGGUCACUCCAAGUUCAAACUGACUUUGGGAUAGGCUCCUUGUGCCAGUUACAGACCUGUGUCUCACAGGAAUGAGAGCUGUGGGCAAAGGGAAGGAGCAGCUCAGAGGUCUGGGGUUUGUUUAACGUGUCUGCCCAUGUUAGAUAAACUUGUGCCUGUGCAAUCUGUGUAAGAGCACCAUCCCCCAGCAUCUGAUUCUUUCUGACACACUCAUCCAGGGUUUUCCAGACCCACCUCUCUGGGAAACAGCCAGCCUGAGAGAAAAGACCUCAGCAGGCAGCAAGGAUCCAGGCAACAGGCACUGCUGCUUAUGCAAUAGGCAAACAUUGUAGUAAAUAACAUGUGUAGCUUUGUUAUUAAGCUUGAUCUUGUUAGGGGGGCAAUAAAUGUUCUCUGUGAUCAUUUUUCUUGUAGAAUAUCAACACAGGAUAAAAUUGUGGCUCUGGCUUUGCUCUUCCUGCUCAUUAGAGCUCCAUGCUGCUUCAUGCCAUGGCCUCAAUCUGUUGCUGUUUGCCUUGACAGCUGCAUGUCCCCAAUUUCCUUCAGACUCAUUUUGCACAUGAUAAUGCUGGCAGUUCUUGAGUUUUUCAUGUCCCUUCCCCCCUGCCCCUUCUCACUUUCACAAAAGCAACUUAGCAGCAAAUUGUGCUUAAUUUAAAAGGGAUGGUUUGGGUAAGAUACCUGUUUGCUGGAAACCAAAAUCAGGGACAUCUGGCAUUCAUUGACUUUUAAAAGCAAAGAAAUGACACAACUAAAAUGCAGAUACAGAGGAUUUCCAGCUACUUGGAGGGGGUGUUGUUUUAGUAAAUUGAACUCAGAUAGAUUUGUUCUACUUGCUCCUAGCUGUUGAUCUGGGUAUAGUCUGGACUGAACCACUUGUUUAAUUAUAUGGCACUAAAAAAAUAGCUUUGCUUCAUAAAAUGCCUUUUUUUUUUCUCCUUUCAUCUGCACUGGAUGGCUGCUUUAAGGCAUGAAGACCCUUCUAGAGCCAUCCUCUGAGUCACCAAACUCCACCUUUCCACCAGAAAAAGCUUUUGUAUCAUAUCCAGAGCCAGGUACCUACGCUGUGCCUGGGGGAACGUGAGCUGGGGGCACUCCAGCCUCACUUCCAAUUUCUAGGCUGAUUUACAGUGGAGGAGCCAGAGAAUCCCUUGGUUUGAUUUGCUGGGCAUACAGGUGGCAGUGAGAGAUGCUUCCCAGAGCUGCCAGGAGCUGAGUGGUGCCCUGCUAGCCUGGAGCUGUGAGGCAGCUGAAGCAAUCCCAUCUGACCAGUAGCUGUAAAACAAAAACCAGCCCGUUCUGACACUACAAAACAGUAGAGCUUUAUUUGAACUCAAAGAGAAUAAAUGAGUCUUUGGCAUUAUGUGGGGAGAGGAGGCUGUGCUUCUUGCUGCCAGUAGUGCAUACUUUCUAACUCAAGAAGGAGCAGCAAGGCAGAUCAGGCAUGAACCCAAAAAAAUCCUGGCUUUGCCCAUGGAGAGAGUGAGAAGUUGGAUCCUCUAGAACAGAGGCUACUUUAUGAGGAGUCAGAAACUGGGCCACACACAAACUGGAUAUGUGAGGGUAGCGGGGCACUGCUGUGUUUUUGCUGAGGGAUCCCCAGGCAGGUCAGCCUGGGCCAUGCAGCCCCUGUGGCAGCAAGCAGCAGAUCUCUGCACUGGCUCCCUCACUGUGCAUGACAGGUUCUGUGUCAGCUGCCUCAGACUCCCCACAUCUCCCCACUGCUGGCAGUGGUGGAGUCUGGACCAGUAUGAAACAAGAAUUUUACAAAAGGCAGAAGAAGAACUCUCCCCGCAUUUCACUCGCUUCCCUAUUUGUCAUUUCUGGCUGAAUCCUUCACUCCUGCUGGAUCUUCCCCUGGGAAGUGAUUGAAAGAGCCUCAACAGUUUAAUCCAAAUUGCCCUCCAGUUCCCUGGUGAUGCAAUUAAUUGAAAGCAGGAUUUUUACAAUUCUGUUCUGCUUAAAAGUAUCCCCUGGCCAUCAGGCUCUCCUGCUAUGAGAGCUAAGAGUCACUGUGCUGGCAGCCACAUCCACUAUGAGCCAGGAUUUCUAAGGGGAUAAUCCAGGAAGACAUCAGGUCCCCCUGUGUGGCACUCCCAGCCAUAAUCAGCCUCUCACAGUUGUGGGCUAUUGCAGUUCAGCAUCAGGGGUAGUUUCUUCCAGUACUGAAGCUUGCUGUAGCAGACUUAAACAUUUUCCCCACAAUAAUCUGCAGUGGGAGAAGCCUCCAG